rnacentral:lncRNA from 1 species
GCUUCACACUGGGGCCAUAAAACAAUGAAUAAUGGACAAGAAGAAGCCUGUAAUGUGAAGAUUUUAGGAAAUUCAGGAUCAAAUUUAUUUUGGUUCUCAAGGUCAAGCUGCUUAUGUUGCCAAGAGGCCCCUGAGCAUCAGACAAACAGGCUGGGAAAAACCAUGACACAGGAGUUAUUUUUCAUGUUGCAGACUUGCUUCUUGUCAGAGGGAUCUUACAAAGAUGACCUUAGUGAUGAAGACAUUGUGAAUUAAAAUCAUUUGUUCUGAAAGGUGGGACCAAGAUGUAAGCUUCAGGAAACAUUGCCUCAUCUACUUUCAAGGUGGGGCUUUCUCAUUAAAGUGCCUAUAUGAUGUUUCUCCUUCCCAGACAUGAAGGAUAAAAAAAGAAUAAAACCAUCAGGCAUUUUUGUUUAACUAUGUCAUUGUUGUUUUAUGGUAGUUUUAUUACCUGCAUGUAUUUAGAUAUGAGAAUUCAGAGAAGGCUG